AUGCCGAGCUCAAAGAAGAACAAAGCUUCAGACUCGUCCAAGAAUCUCCAGAUGGUGAUCAGCGACGGCAAGGGCGAGGCCGCGGCCAGCGCCGUGACCGGGAGCGCAAUCGCCGCGUCGUACAACGACCAGAUACGGCCGCUUCUCGACGCUGUGGACCGCCUGCGCCACCUCAAGGUGACGCAGGAGGGCAUCCAGCUCCCGACGAUCGUGGUUGUCGGCGACCAGUCCAGCGGCAAGUCGAGCGUCCUUGAGUCCCUGGCCGGCAUCAGCCUCCCUCGCGGCCAGGGCAUCUGCACCCGCGUGCCGCUCGUCAUGCGGCUCCAGGACGACCCCUCCGCCGACUCGCCGGUGCUGCAGCUUGAGCACAUCAACGGCCGCGUGGUGACCACCACGGAGGCCAAUAUAGCCGGGUCGGGCAAGGGGAUCUCCGACGCGCCCAUCACCCUCGUCGUGCGCAAGCGGGGCGUGCCCGACCUCACCCUCGUCGACCUCCCCGGCAUCACGCGCGUGCCGGUCAAAGGGCAGCCCGACGACAUCUACGACCAGAUCGCCAAGAUCAUCAAGGACUACAUCUCGCCGAAAGAGAGCAUUAUCUUGAACGUGCUCUCUGCCACGGUCGACUUCCCGACGUGCGAGUCCAUCCGCAUGUCGCAGCAGGUGGACCGCACUGGUGAGCGCACGCUUGCAGUGGUCACCAAGGUGGACAAGUCCCCCGAGGGCCUGCUCGAGAAGGUCACCAUGGACGACGUCAACAUUGGCCUCGGGUACGUCUGUGUCCGCAACCGCAUCGGGGACGAGACCUAUGACCAGGCUCGUGUAGAGGAGGAGAAGCUGUUCAAGUACCACCAUCUGCUGUCCAAGAUCGAGAAGUCCAUGGUGGGCAUUCCUGUGCUUGCGCAGCGACUCAUGCAGAUUCAGGCGACCAUCAUCGCCAAGUGCCUCCCGGGCAUCGUCAAGCAGAUCAACGACCGCCUUAGCCGGAGCAGCACCGAGCUCAACCAGAUGCCGCCUGAUCUUGUUAGCGUCGCUGACGCGGUGAGAGAGUUUAUUCGUAUUGUCAAGCAGGUGUGCUCUUCCCUGGAGAAGAUACUGGUGAGGGGCGAGUUCGAUGAGUUCCCUGAUGACUGCCAUUUCCACGGCACGGCCCGUAUCGCGGAGAUGCUCAAUGCAUACGCAAAGAAGCUGCCUGUAGAAGUCCCAGGGCGUGGCGGCCUGUUCCUGAUGGAGGAGGUGAGAGUUCUGGAGGAGACCAAGGGCGUCAACCUCCCCAACUUCCUGCCAAGAUCGGCGUUCCAGAGGGUUGUGCUGGUUCCCCAAAACUUAUUGUCUUACACGCACGAUCUUGUCAAUGAGGUGUGGGAGUAUGUGGAGGACUUGGUGUCAAAGGUAGUUCUGCAGCAUGCCGACAACUUCCCUCAGGUGCAGUCAUCCUGCCGCCGUGCAGUCCAGAUGCUGAUGGAGAAGGCGCGUGCGCGAUCCGCGCAGCACAUUGAGGAGCUGAUGGAGAUGGAGCUGGUAGCUGAUUUCACGGCUAAUCCUGAAUACAUGAAGACUUGGUACGAGAUCAUGGAAAGUCAUGAGAAGUUUAUGGACGCUGUGGUGGACACCUCCAAGUCCACCCUUCUUAACCUGGUAGGCUUUGGAGAAGUGGACGUGUCGCAUCUGAGGGUGAAUUCUGAGUUGGCAGGGCAGGCGUUUGACCUGAGCGCGCGCGUGACCGCCUACUGGAAGAUCAUCGUGCUCCGGCUCAUCGACGGCCUGGCGCUGCACGUCCUUCGUGGCGUCAAGCGGCUCGUGGAGAGUGAGCUCGAGAGGGAACUGUCUGACGAGCUUUUGGGUAACAAGCUGGCAGGGGUGGAGCGGAUGCUCAUGCCGUCGCCUGGCAGUGGCACCAAGCGUGAGCGCCUCAAGAAGAGCAUCGUGCUGCUUCGGCAGUCCAAGGAGGUCGUGGCCAACAUCAUGGACAGGAUCAGUGCGUCGGGUGAAAUCUAG
rnacentral:rRNA from 1 species